GAGAUGAGGAUUCUUGUCAGGAUGACACUGCUGAGGGUUCACAGUACAUCAACACAGCUGCUAUUUCUGUUGCCAGACAAUCCUCUACACAUUGUGAAUCUGUCAUGAGAAGAGGCCUUACCCCAUUGAUUAUCUUAGAAAACAGUUCUGCUGGCUUCAGAAACAUCAAAAUAAGCUGUGUCUUCUAGAUUUUUGGUUCUUCUCAGAGCUCCAUCUAGCAGCAGUCUG